GCUGGGAGCGGUGGCGGGUGCCUGUAAUUCCAGCUACUUGGGAGGCUGAGGCAGGAGAAUUGCUUGAACCCAGGAGGUGGAGGUUGCAGUGAGCUGAGAUUGCACCACUGCACUCUAGCCUGGGUGACAGAGCAAGACCUUGUCUCAA
ensembl:misc_RNA Metazoa_SRP Metazoan signal recognition particle RNA